CUACGGGCCGCUGCAGUGAGGAAUAUUGCACAAUGGAGGAAACUCUGAUGCAGCAACGCCGCGUGGAGGAUGACGCAUUUCGGUGUGUAAACUCCUUUUAUAUGUCAAGAAAAUGACGGUAGCAUAUGAAUAAGCACCGGCUAACUCCGUGCCAGCAGCCGCGGUAAUACGGAGGGUGCAAGCGUUACUCGGAAUCACUGGGCGUAAAGGACGCGUAGGCGGGAUAUCAAGUCAGGUGAGAAAUCCUACAGCUUAACUGUAGAACUGCACUUGAAACUGGUAACCUAGAGUAUGGGAGGGGGAGAUGGAAUUAGUGGUGUAGGGGUAAAAUCCGUAGAUAUCACUAGGAAUACCUAAAGCGAAGGCGAUCUCCUGGAACAUAACUGACGCUAAGGCGUGAAAGCGUGGGGAGCAAACAGGAUUAGAUACCCUCGUAGUC
rnacentral:rRNA from 1 species